CAGUGCACAAAAUUCUUGCGGGGGGGGGGGGGUCCCUCAGCCCAGCCUGCAUCUCAAAGAUAUUGACAACCCAUAGCCCUAAAUAAAAAUGUAUUCACACUCUGUCUCAGGUUUCUCAGCAUUGUGCCUAGACGAGGAACGUCAUGAGAAAUGGAAAUAGGCAUCCUAAGAUGAAAAAUAAUGCCAACUUAAGGGGUAUAUACAAAUUAUCAGACUAAGGCUGGAAAUUCAGGAAUAUAAUCUCUUAAGAUAUUUAUUGUAAUCUCCAAAAAUUAAAACAAGAUAAAUCCAAAGAACCAAAACCACUUUCUAUACAGAAUUCACAUACAAGUUUAAUACCUAAUAGAGCACAUACCAUUUUUACACAAUUAAUUUCGGUAGAGAGAACUGAAACUUCACAAUGUGAAUACACUUUAUAGCUUUGAACCAGACAGGAGCCCCUGUGGACAGGUGGGGGCUGUGUGCUGAGUAGCAGUUUUCAACAAAACGCCACACCCACUGGGGGAAAGCACGGAGCUGUUGCUAAUAUUUGCUCAGGACAUGCUCCACAGUGCCCCAAGGAGCCGGUGCCAGCACAGAGGGGGUUCGUCUGUGCACCCCAACACUCUGUGGCACAGGGAGCACAGGCACACCCCCAGGCGCCAUGGCGCUGUCUGCGGGUGACAGUGAAGGGAACCCUUGUGGUUUGGCACCUGGGAACGAUGUCAAUGUUUCUAACGUGUCUUCAGAACAAUGCGUGUCCGUGGCCAUGUCUGGGGCUGCACAGCACAGAGAGCGACGGUGCUGCAGCUUGUCUUCCUCGUGGGACAGAAAUAGGUAACCGGGGUGGGGUGGGGGGGGAUGGGCUUCAGAGGCCCGUUUGGCUGCGAGAACAAUGGCUGACAGCUGCCGGCUGUCAUCUUUCUGUUCAUGAAGAACAUCUGUCCCCGUCCUGCUGUGUGUUGGGCACAAUCUCCUCAGGUCAGAUUCUCUCCGGGGUCACAUCUGACGUCUUCAAUGGGGUCAUUCCCUCCCGUCUGGCAGGCCCCACUCCCUGUGCUCCCACUCCUGCCCUAACUUCACAUUUAGACAGCGUCCUGCCCCCCCGCCCCACCACGUUCAGUCACUAAGCUGAGUGCUGGGCACAAGAGACUCAGCAGCUGUGCAAUGACUGACUAAACAUUAAAACACUCUUAAUUAUGAUUCUAAUGUUGGCUACCUGCUUUCAUUUUUCCUUAAUUUGGUACAGGGCCAUCACUAACCACCAACUUCCUCAGUGGGUUUGAGAGCUGAGUACGCGUUUCCGGCUAUCCCAGGUGAGCCAGGCGCACAUCCCAGUGGGCGCCCAGAGCCAUCGGACAUGACUGGAAGGUCCUCAAAGGCGAUGCACAGCCGAGGAAGGAGUGGAGGCCUUGCAGGAGGUGCCGAUGACCACGCUGUCUAGACACUGCUCUUCAUCCUUCUGAGUGAAUAAGUCCUCACUGCUCGAGGUGUCAUGAUGUCCUUUGCUGAGUGAAUGAGAAGGCAAAGCACGAUUUUAAGAUGAAUGCUGUGCCUAAAAACUGGGAUGGCAGAGAGGAGUUCAAGGUCAUUGCCCUACUUUAAACGUCACAAACAUAAACAGUCAGAACCAGCCACCAGGCCUCAUGGCUGGACUCCCAUCGCAGUGCGUCCUAGGCCAUGGCUGUGGGGCUGACAGGGCUGAGGGUGCACUUGAGGCUUUGCGACACCAAAGUGAUGUAGGGAACCUGGCUUUUCUGUCCACCUCCCUGGUGUGGACAAUUGAGAAUUGAACUGAAAUAACAUUAGCUACAACCUAAACAGAUACGAAUAUUUUAGGAUUCCCGGGUUGACAGUGUUAAAUUUGAAAACAAAAUACAAGAUUGAGUUACAAUAAAUAUACAUACAAAUACAAGAGUGAAAAUUCUUAGUAGACAGAACAUGUGAUCAACAUUUCUGAGAAUAAAAACGACUUUUUCUUAUGUGCAUAUAUUUUCUUAGGUAGCUAAACUGGCCUCUUAAAAAAGGCUAAAGGAGAAUUCUGAAUUAACAAGAAAAUUGCUAUAUAAAGUAAACUAACAACCAUUCUGUCUUAAAAACAAAACCCACAAUUCUAAAAGGCAAAACUGACAUAUUUGCAGGUACUAGACGUUUGGUCUUAUAGGAAAUAAAGAACUUUGAGGUAGCACAGAGGAGCUUCACACGACACAAUAAGGUACUGACUGUAUAAGCACACGCUAGACACACACGGCUACGGGAGAUCAUUUGAGUAGGUCACACGCCACCCACAGCACUUCGCACAUUCGCUGUAAUUCACUUUCACUCGUUUAUAUACACUGAAUAAGUCAUUAAAUAUUGCACUUAUUGGCCCAUGAACCCUCAAUUCUGAGGUGUUGAAAAUAGAAAAAAAAUCUAUUUUUGUAACAUAUUUCAUGCAACAUUUAAGACAUUUCAGUUCCACAAACACCAUUAAUAGUUGUACAUGUGGACAGUCCAACGGCGUCACAUCACAUCUGACAUUAACAACAUAUUCACAGGAACAUGGAGAACUUCCAUUCAGCACACAUCCUAGGGGUGAUGGGACAACGCUCAGAAACCAUCCUAACGGUGCAGAAAACCCGGACGAACGCAGGACACGCUCACCUCCCUGAAAGGCAGGGGCCUGCAGCUCACACACCACAUGCCAUUAGGAACGCAGUCAUGAGCCACAGCGACCCUGGCCACCAAAAACAUGGAUAUGGAAAAUUUUCAUUAAGAUAUAAAGUCACAGCCAACUCUCAAUUGUCCACAGUGAAGGGAAGUAUGAACUCAGGCAAAUGAAAUACAAGGUACAGCCCCGCCUCACUCCAGCCGGUGAUGCCCAGGACAGCGCAGGGCGAUGUGGAUGGGAGGGAGGGGAACACAAAUGCCACCUCCGACCUGCGCUGUAACACGUGCAGUGACACACACCCAGCAGAUGCGGAGAGAGCUGUACACAGAAAGCUUGAUUUGCCCACAGGCAGAUGGUCUGGUCUCAAUACGUGAGCUCUAACAUAGUUUCAGAAAUAAUGUAUUUUGUCAAGAAGGUUUGCAAAUGUGUUUUCGCUCUAUCCUCUUUUUAAUGGGAAUCAAUUAUGUGCACAGACACCCAAAUCAGUGCAAAGAAUCUAUUUUAUAGACCGAUUUAAACAGUUGUGAGUGACAGCUGGAGUGUAGCAAAAGCUCCCUUUUUUCUGGCACUGAGAGCGCGCUGAAUGCAGGCAUUUCCCUUCAUAAAAGGUGUGUCAUGGGUGUGCACGUGCCUCUACAUGUGUCUGUGUGUGCAUGUGCCCAUGUGUGUGCAUGUGGGAGAGGCAACACUGUUUGUGGCCCAAGUGCAAAUAUUUUCAUCUACCAAAGGGAAAUCGUAUUUGACUGGAGUGUCAAGCAUUUCUGUAAAGAUUUUCGAGAGAAAACGACGUUUAUUUAUGAGACACCAAUAACAAUGGGUAGACAUGUCUUAGUCACGUUCCCCAGACCUGGCUUUGCCCUAGGGGAGGCUAUACUUCUGGCAUCUGGAGCCUUUGGUGCACUGCAGGGAUGCUGAUGCUUUUUUCUGGUCAUCAACUUCAUCUUUUACUCAAUCUGUUUCACUUCAUUCCAGAACAUAAAACAGGCUCAUGUCUUUGACUGGCUUUGGUCAAAAUUCACCUAAAAUAGAAAGAACUCUAACAAGCUGACCCUAACGGUCAGCUCAGCAGCAAAACUCCCCGCUGUCCUGGUGAUCUGUGGGGUGCAGCUAUUGUCCUGGUGAGCUGUGGGGUGCAGGUGUUGUCCUGGUGAGCUGUUGGGUGCAUCUGCUAUCCUGGUGAGCUGUGGGGUGUGGCUGUUGUCCUGGUGAGCUGUGGGGUGCAUCUGCUGUCCUGGUGAGCCGUGGGGUGCAGCUGCUGUGCACAGAGGGGAGAAGCUGCCACAGCUGUGGGGCUGCACCUUCCGGCCACUGGAAAGGCCCCAAGCACGCUGACAGAGCACAGGGAAGAGUCCUGGAACCACACAUGCACUCACAUAGGGAGGAUUCUACAGAGACACAGGCCAGCUCCCAGACACCUGAUAGAGCAUCUCAAUACGAUGUGAAAACUCUGAAUAAACACUUUGGUCCAGAAGGGUUUUAGUCAUGACUUCAAAGUUAUCUGCUUUCCACAGGCAGCUGCUCCCUCAGCCCUGAGACAGCCUGGUGGCGUCUGGACACAUUUCUAAUGGAGUCCCCAGGGCCUGCAGGAGGCACCAGGCAGCAGAGGGAUGGACUCGUGGGGACCCUGAGGAGGAGCCUGGAGACUUUGAAAGGUCACGGAGAGGAGCUGCUGGCGGAGCGGCCGCAUGAGCUCCUCCUGCCCGAGUGAGCCUUCUCAGGGGCUGUGGGGGACGCCUGGAGCUUCCCACUUAGGACUUAACCCUCAGCGCCUUCCACACCCACCCACCGUCCAGAGGCUGAGAUGUGGAUCUGCUCCGUGGACGACUAUUUGAUAAAACAACUUCAGUCCAAUGUUUCUGUUACCUUAGGAACGAAGGCAACAUCCCCAAACCAGAGCACUCGGAAGUAUUUCCUCAGAUCCGUCGAGGUUUGUCUCUAAAAGUAAUGGUGGGGGGGGGGAGGUGAUAGGUGUCCAGAGGGAGAAUAAUCCAGUUGAAACACUAAUUGAAUAGCAUCAAGGACAAAAGAUGCAUGUCUGGCAUUCACAAGCUACAUGGCAUCUGUUUUAAGGUGUCUUCAUCUUUUGAAUACACAUUUAGUGAGGCCAUUAGUAAAAAUGACCUCUGGUUGUUUAAGCUACUGGCAGAUGGGGAGAAGGUAGGAGGUGUCGUGUGCACAUGUGUGUGUGUGCAUGUGUGUGCAUGUGUGUGUGCAUGUGUGUGCAUGUGUGUGGGGGGGCACACAUGGCCAAAGGCUGAAAGCCCUUGGAAUGACAGUGUGAUAAUUUAUAAGUCAUACAACUUGAUGCCAUACACAGAUGCUCCCUUCGUUAACCCUGGGCUGGAUCCUUUUUUGCCAAAUUUGACUUUAGAGGGAGGAUCCCUCGAUGAGGUCAGAGUGGAGAAUACUCUCCCCACGCACAUCACAGAAGACACACCGUGCCAUUCACUCCAGCUCCGUGGAUCCUUCCUGCAAACUUCUCCCUCGAUGAAACCCACACCAAGGUUCCCCUGCGGUGGGAAAACGGAGUUUACCGAUGCUCCUUGUCAAGACGCUCGGCCGUGGUCCAGUCACCCCGAUGAUCCCUACGCAGCUCGGCCGUGGUCCAGUCACUCCCG